rnacentral:rRNA from 1 species
GAUGAACGCUAGCGGCAUGCUUAACACAUGCAAGUCGGACGGGAAGUGGUUUUUCCAGUGGCGUACGGGUGAGUAACGCGUAAGAACCUGCCCUUGGGAGGGUAACAACAACUGGAAACGGUUGCUAAUACCCCGUAGCCUGUGGAGCAAAAGGACGAAUCCGGCCGAGGAGGGGCUGGCGUCUGAUUAGCUAGUUGGUGAGGCAAUAGCUUACCCAGGCGAUGAUCAGUAGCUGGUCCGAGCGGAUGAUCAGCCACAGUGGGACGGAGACACGGCCCAGACUCCGAGGGGAAGCAGUAGUGGAGAAUGUUCCGCAAGGGGAGAAAGCAUGAAGGAGCGAUGCGGGGGGGAGGUAGAAGGCCGACGGGUAAUGAACUUCUUUUCUUAGAGAAGAAGCAAUGACGGUAUCUGAGGAAUAAGCAUCGGCUAACUCUGUG